GCCCGGUUAGCUCAGUUGGUAGAGCACAUGCAUGGUAAGCAUGAGGUCGCCGGUUCGAUCCCGGCACCGGGCU
rnacentral:tRNA from 1 species